rnacentral:pre_miRNA from 1 species
GCGAUGUGUUCAAGAGGAGGGAAAGUAGGAACGUGAAGAAACCCAGCCCUUCUCACCGUUCCUACUUUACCUCCUCUUGAACAGUUUAGCAUACG